rnacentral:misc_RNA from 1 species
GCAGGAGAUAAUGGCAAUGCCUGAUAGGCAUUACCGAAAAUUCGUAAGGCUGUGCGAGCGUCAACGUCAGGAUCUAUCUAGGCAAGUGCAGGCCUCCCAGAAAGCUAGCAGAGAAAAACAAUUAAAAUUAAUUUUUCAAUGGCGUAAGAAGCUUCUUGAGGCUCAUUGGGCAAUACGUGAUGCUCGAACUGCACGCAACAGGGGAGUAGCUAAGUAUCAUGAGAGGAUGUUGAGGGAGUUCUCAAAGAAAAAGGAUGAUAACCGGAAUGAAAGAAUGGAGGCGUUGAAGAAUAAUGAUGUUGAGAGAUAUAGGGAGAUGUUGCUAGAGCAGCAGACCAAUGUUCCUGGUGAUGGUGCUGAGAGAUAUGCUGUUCUUUCAUCAUUUUUGAGUCAGACAGAAGAGUAUCUUCAUAAAUUGGGAGGUAAAAUUACAGCCACAAAAAAGCAGCAGGAGGUUGACGAGGCU